rnacentral:rRNA from 1 species
UACGUAGGGUGUAAGCGUUGUCCGGAAUUAUUGGGCGUAAAGGGCGCGUAGGCGGCGCGGUAUGUCACCUGUGAAAUCUCCUGGCUCAACUGGGAGCUUGCAGGCGAAACUGCCGUGCUGGAGUGUGGGAGAGGUGCGUGGAAUUCCUGGUGUAGCGGUGAAAUGCGUAGAUAUCAGGAGGAACACCUGUGGCGAAAGCGGCGCACUGGACCACAACUGACGCUGAGGCGCGAAAGCUAGGGGAGCAAACAGG